rnacentral:other from 1 species
GCGGCUCGACCUUGUUCGUGACCUCGCGACGUUCUCGAGCCAACACGAGAACACAGGGAGCCCGGGCUUCGUCCCAUCCCUGGAUGGCACGAGAGGGCACCCACCUGCGAUGAGCAGGUUCGAGAAUCAGACGAGCACGGCAAGGUGGAGCUUCU